GAUGAAGAACGUAGCGAAAUGCGGUAAGUAAUGUGAAUUGCAGAAUUCAGUGAAUCAUCGAAUCUUUGAACGCACAUUGCGCCCGCCAGUAUUCUGGCGGGCAUGCCUGUUCGAGCGUCAUUACAACCCUCAGGCCCCCGGGCCUGGCGUUGGGGAUCGGCGGAGCCCCCCGUGGGCACACGCCGUCCCCCAAAUACAGUGGCGGUCCCGCCGCAGCUUCCAUCGCGUAGUAGCUAACACCUCGCGACUGGAGAGCGGCGCGGCCACGCCGUAAAACACCCAACUCUUCUGAAGUUGACCUCGAAUCAGGUAGGAAUACCCGCUGAACUUAAGCAUAUCAAUAAGCGGAGGA
rnacentral:misc_RNA from 1 species